UGGGGACUCAAAAGGGAAUGACCACCAUGGGUGACAUACAAAGAAGCCACGUAAGGACAGACUACGUUAAGGCAGGAGGCUACGGGAAGGAGAGUCUUCAUCAUCAUGAGGCCCACGACAAGUGCCUUGAUUUCUGAAGGACGCGACAAUGUUAGAAACGUCAGUGCGGUUUCCACAGACCCCCGUCAGACAUCGCAGGUCUUGCUGAGAGCCCAGCCGUGAAGCAGUGAAGCACUGUGUUUCAGGUGUUCUUCACAUCUCACUAAAUCUUGUGGAGCAGAAGGUCUUAUUCAAGGAAAAUGAUUACUGAAGACAUCUCAUGGAGAUUUUCAGAUGCCCCAAGGCCCUUCGAUACGCUCCACAUUCCACAUCUGGAGUGGGCCAUUCCUUCAGGGAGCCCUAAUGCCUACUAGUGAGCAACGCCAUUCGGGGGCCGCAGGGACUGAGUGCUACCGACGCUUCCGCAUGCCUGACCAUCGAAAUCACGCAUUUGCACCGACAUCUCCUGGUCAGAUGACAGACAACGUCUCUGUUACGCUUCUGAGUUCACACCUGGGCCUUUUUGCGUACAUAGAACUUAGUUCCUUGCUGUAUUAAUUACUUAUUUCUAAUGACAAUAAAUUAAUACUAAGAAUACUGAA